GACGAACGCUGGCGGCGUGCCUAACACAUGCAAGUCGAACGGAACUGUUUUGAAAGAUUUCUUCGGAAUGAAUUUGAUUUAGUUUAGUGGCGGACGGGUGAGUAACGCGUGAGUAACCUGCCUUCAAGAGGGGGAUAACAUUCUGAAAAGAAUGCUAAUACCGCAUGACAUAUCGGAACCACAUGGUUUUGAUAUCAAAGAUUUUAUCGCUUGAAGAUGGACUCGCGUCCGAUUAGUUAGUUGGUGAGGUAACGGCUCACCAAGACCGCGAUCGGUAGCCGGACUGAGAGGUUGAACGGCCACAUUGGGACUGAGACACGGCCCAGACUCCUACGGGAGGCAGCAGUGGGGGAUAUUGCGCAAUGGGGGCAACCCUGACGCAGCAACGCCGCGUGAAGGAUGAAGGUUUUCGGAUUGUAAACUUCUUUUAUUAAGGACGAAAAAUGACGGUACUUAAUGAAUAAGCUCCGGCUAA
rnacentral:rRNA from 1 species